CCUACGGGAGGCAGCAGUGAGGAAUAUUGGUCAAUGGGCGCAAGCCUGAACGAGCAAUGCCGCGUGAACGAGGAAGGUCUUCGGAUCGUAAAGUUCUGUUGAAGGGGAAAAAGAGCGGAGAGAGGAAAUGGUCUCCGAUUGAUAUUACCCUUCGAGGAAGUCACGGCUAACUACGUGCCAGCAGCCGCGGUAAUACGUAGGUGGCGAGCGUUAUCCGGAAUGAUUGGGCGUAAAGGGUGCGUAGGCGGCCUGCUAAGUCUGGAGUGAAAGGUACCGGCUCAACCGGUACAGGCUCUGGAAACUGGCGGGCUAGAGAGCAGGAGAGGGCGGUGGAACUCCAUGUGUAGCGGUAAAAUGCGUAGAUAUAUGGAAGAACACCAGUGGCGAAGGCGGCCGCCUGGCCUGUUGACUGACGCUGAGGCACGAAAGCGUGGGGAGCAAAUAGGAUUAGAUACCCCAGUAGUC
rnacentral:rRNA from 1 species